rnacentral:rRNA from 1 species
CCAGACUCCUACGGGAGGCAGCAGUGGGGGAUAUUGCACAAUGGGGGGAACCCUGAUGCAGCGACGCCGCGUGGGUGAAGGAGCGUUUCGGCGCGUAAAGCCCUAUCGGCAGGGAAGAAGGAGGACGGUACCCGACUAAGAAGCCCCGGCUAACUACGUGCCAGCAGCCGCGGUAAUACGUAGGGGGCAAGCGUUAUCCGGAUUUACUGGGUGUAAAGGGAGCGUAGACGGCUGUGCAAGCCAGAUGUGAAAGCCCGGGGCUCAACCCCGGGACUGCAUUUGGAACUGUGUGGCCGGAGUGUCGGAGAGGCAGGCGGAAUUCCUAGUGUAGCGGUGAAAUGCGUAGAUAUCAGGAGGAACACCGGUGGCGAAGGCGGCCUGCUGGACUGCAACUGACGUUGAGGCCCGAAAGCGUGGGGAGCAAACAGGAUUAGAUACCCCCGUAUGU